GACGAACUUUGGCGGCGUGCUUAACACAUGCAAGUCGAACGGAAAGGCCCUGCUUUUGUGGGGUGCUCGAGUGGCGAACGGGUGAGUAACACGUGAGUAACCUGCCCUUGACUUUGGGAUAACUUCAGGAAACUGGGGCUAAUACCGGAUAGGAGCUCCUGCUGCAUGGUGGGGGUUGGAAAGUUUCGGCGGUUGGGGAUGGACUCGCGGCUUAUCAGCUUGUUGGUGGGGUAGUGGCUUACCAAGGCUUUGACGGGUAGCCGGCCUGAGAGGGUGACCGGCCACAUUGGGACUGAGAUACGGCCCAGACUCCUACGGGAGGCAGCAGUGGGGAAUAUUGCACAAUGGGCGGAAGCCUGAUGCAGCAACGCCGCGUGCGGGAUGACGGCCUUCGGGUUGUAAACCGCUUUCGCCUGUGACGAAGCGUGAGUGACGGUAAUGGGUAAAGAAGCACCGGCUAACUACGUGCCAGCAGCCGCGGUGAUACGUAGGGUGCGAGCGUUGUCCGGAUUUAUUGGGCGUAAAGGGCUCGUAGGUGGUUGAUCGCGUCGGAAGUGUAAUCUUGGGGCUUAACCCUGAGCGUGCUUUCGAUACGGGUUGACUUGAGGAAGGUAGGGGAGAAUGGAAUUCCUGGUGGAGCGGUGGAAUGCGCAGAUAUCAGGAGGAACACCAGUGGCGAAGGCGGUUCUCUGGGCCUUUCCUGACGCUGAGGAGCGAAAGCGUGGGGAGCGAACAGGCUUAGAUACCCUGGUAGUCCACGCUGUAAACGGUGGGUACUAGGUGUGGGGUCCAUUCCACGGGUUCCGUGCCGUAGCUAACGCUUUAAGUACCCCGCCUGGGGAGUACGGCCGCAAGGCUAAAACUCAAAGGAAUUGACGGGGCCCCGCACAAGCGGCGGAGCAUGCGGAUUAAUUCGAUGCAACGCGUAGAACCUUACCUGGGUUUGACAUGGAUCGGGAGUGCUCAGAGAUGGGUGUGCCUCUUUUGGGGUCGGUUCACAGGUGGUGCAUGCCUGUCGUCAGCUCGUGUCGUGAGAUGUUGGGUUAAGUCCCGCAACGAGCGCAACCCUUGUUCACUGUUGCCAGCACGUUAUGGUGGGGACUCAGUGGAGACCGCCGGGGUCAACUCGGAGGAAGGUGGGGAUGACGUCGAGUCAUCAUGCCCCUUAUGUCCAGGGCUUCACGCAUGCUACAAUGGCUGGUACAGAGAGUGGCGAGCCUGUGAGGGUGAGUGAAUCUCGGAAAGCCGGUCUCAGUUCGGAUUGGGGUCUGCAACUCGACCUCAUGAAGUCGGAGUCGCUAGUAAUCGCAGAUCAGCAACGCUGCGGUGAAUACGUUCCCGGGGCU
rnacentral:rRNA from 1 species